GGAGCAUGUGGCUUAAUUUGACUCAACGCGGGAAAUCUUACCGGGUCCGGACACACUGAGGAUUGACAGGCAAUAUUAAUUUCAUAUAAUUUUAAUUUCCGAUGGUCUUUUUUUGAUCUUAUGUUAAAUAUGCUAGUCCUUUCAUGAUUAUGUGAUAGGUGGUGCAUGGCCGUUCUUAGUUCGUGGAGUGAUCUGUCUGCUUAAUUGCGUU
rnacentral:rRNA from 1 species